GAAACGAUUAUUUCACCUGAUACACAAAACCAUAACUUCAAAGAAAAACAUUAGAUUCCCUAAUGUACCUGUUAUGGGAUGACCAUAUCUCUCUUGGACCGACCACCUUGAGAUGGCAUAUUCCGAGCCAAAGAUUUUGAGCCAACUACACCGUUAUGUAUCCUAAGUAUUUUCCCUACCAGAGGACUAUCUUGUGCCUUGCUGUA
rnacentral:lncRNA from 1 species